GAUGCAUACCCUUCGCUUCUAACGGCCGCUGCAAUGACGCGAUGACUUUACCCGUCGGCGAUUGGCUCUUAUUUAGAAGGCGGGACUUUAUUCCGCCAUAUUGCACGUUGUACUUUUUCCCAUUCAAAGUGACGCGUCUUGAACCGUCUUUCUACAUUGUCUGACUGGAUAUUUAUUUUUCCUGGCGCUUACAGGAAGUGACAUAAUUUUAGAGGGAAACCAGCAGCACAAACAUGAAGCGCAGUCAGAUCUGAAUGUGAGGGAUGAACAAAAGUGACUUUCACACGAAACCACUACACAUAAGACUGGGGCUAGUUGUCACAGGCACGAUGAAGCACACCAGGAUGUUUCCCACCAUGCACAGUGAGAAGAUGAGCACAUAGGCCAGGAUGAAGACGGUGGCCACCACGAGCGAGUGCUGGUAGUACGG